ACACACACAUACACAAAUCCCCUUGGUGACAGUGCUCAGUCAGUGUCAGUCUGAAGCUUUUAAGCGACACACACAGAAGGAGUCCAGUGGUUUUCUGCUAUCGGCUCCUGUUGCUGCUGCUCUGAAUAAAUCCCCCCCUCCUCUACAUGGGUCUCUGGCAGACCCGGGACACAAGCAAGGUACCUCUGAUGGUCCUGCCCUACAAGUGCUAAGAGUAAAGGGGGGAGGAGAAAGGAGGAGAAAGGGAGAGGGGAGGGCUGGUGUUGUGAAUCUCUGAUCCUGAUGUCUUGGCGUUGCUGCACCGAACACUCAAGAGAUUCUGGGAUGAGUGGAGAGUCCCGAGGAAUAGAUCGUGGCUGGUUCUCUGUUUUUUUUUCAACAGUUUUUUGCUAACGUCUCUUUGUUUACUCUCUGAUUGUAUCUCCUUUUAUCUUCUCUUUGAUGUUCCCGCCUCUUUAUCUCUCUCGCAACUUACCUCCCCUUUUUUCCUCUCUCCCUGUACCAGGCUGCUUGUGCGGGCUUUUUUUCCCGUUGCUUACAGGAAAUAUCAGCGUAGUAGGGUCAGAGAGCCUGUGGACUGCCCUCUGCACUCUCAGUGGCGCGCUGGAUUAACUCUCCCUCGGCCCAUUCGGACGACAGAGACAAGCAGAGAUGUGACAGCCAAACAGCAGUGUGGCAACCAGGGCAGAUUACAAAAAAGGAAAAAUCCUGUUUUCAAAAGAAGCGCCGUUGGAAAUAACAGACUGUCUGCAGCAGACGCUCUUUGGUUUCCUUUAAGUUGCUGCUUCAACAACUCGGUAGCGCGCUUUCCAAAUUUCCCAUUUGCGUCAAUGUAUUUUUUUUGUCUUUUUUGCCUCUCCAAGUUAGCAAAAAAUGACAAAAAUCUUGUUUUUUUUAAAGCAAAUGCUGAAUAUUAUCCCCCAAUUUUUUUCAUGCAUAGACUUUGCUGUCAACUGAGUCCUUGUCCGGCUGCAGCUUCUUUGAAAACAGGCAUAAUUUGAUAUAUAUGUAUAGGAGUUUUAUAUAUAUAUCAUAUGUAUGUGUUUUCACUGGUGCUCUGCUUGUGGGAUGCUCCAAACAGAAGUGGGAAGAGAAAUUGGAAGCAACAAAAUGCUUGUUUUGUUUUUAUUCCAGCCUUUCCCUCUUUUGUUGUUGUUGCUGCUUCUUCAUCAGAGUGUAAUCCCGUUAUUCCCGUGUUGCUCGAUGCGUCUGUUUCCCGUCCGCUGGUGGAGCUCGCCGCCGCUGCUGCUCUCUGGCAGGACUGGAUGACAAUGUCUCUCUCACACACAAAC